ensembl:lncRNA
UCAGGCACAUGAGAAUUGAUAAGAAGCGCAGUGAGAUUCCGUGCUAUUGGGAGGAUCAACCAGGAGGCUGUCAGAAAGCCCACUGCGCCUUUCUCCACUUGAAGGAACGCGGUGGGAACGGACUGGCCGUACCACCAAGCCAAAAAGCUGACGCCAGUGGCCUUCCUCCGAAGAGCGGCCUUGCAGGAAGUCUGGGCAAGAAGCCUGGGAAGGCACCAAAGAGAGGUACAGAUACUCAACAGGCAUCUGGGCUUGAUGCACUGUCUUUCUGCUUAGCUGUUCUGAUUGUUCUUUCCUGGGACUGUUCCCUGCAGUUGACAUCCCAACUUCCUCCCAUGGCCCGGCUGGAAAAAAAACGCAAGCGAUCUGAGGAGGAGGAGGGAAAAGUAAAAGAAUUGCCCUGCAAGAAACGAGUCAAGGGUGAGCACAGGGAGCUCGUGACGGCGUCUCAGAAAAGUAACGCUGCCACCUAGGAUUGCUCUGUGUCAGAGUUUUCCUUGCCCUGGGGUAUUCCUGGGCGCAGCCAUUGGGUUUCUUGGUUCCUCUGUAUGCACUGCUGGCAGACAGAGAUGACUGUGUGGAAGACAUUGCUGAGAAUCCAGCACGUGGCAGUGUAACUCCACUGGUCAAGUGUAU